UACGGAGGGUGCAAGCGUUGUCCGGAUUUAUUGGGUUUAAAGGGUGCGUAGGCGGCCUUAUAAGUCAGUGGUGAAAUACGACAGCUUAACUGUCGAACUGCCAUUGAUACUGUAGGGCUUGAGUACAGACGAGGUAGGCGGAAUUGAUAGUGUAGCGGUGAAAUGCAUAGAUACUAUCAAGAACACCGAUUGCGAAGGCAGCUCACUAAGCUAUGAUUGACGCUGAGGCUCGAAAGCGUGGGGAUCAAACAGG
rnacentral:rRNA from 1 species